rnacentral:misc_RNA from 1 species
GAUGAAGAACGUAUCGAAAUGCGAUAAGUAAUGUGAAUUGCAGAAUUCAGUGAAUCAUCGAAUCUUUGAACGCACAUUGCGCCCGCCAGUAUUCUGGCGGGCAUGCCUGUUCGAGCGUCAUUUCAACCAUCAAGCCCCCGGCUUGUGUUGGGGACCUGCGGCUGCCGCAGGCCCUGAAAACCAGUGGCGGGCUCGCUAGUCACUCCGAGCGUAGUAAUACAUCUCGCUCAGGGCGUGCUGCGGGUUCCGGCCGUUAAAAGCCUUAUUUACCCAAGGUUGACCUCGGAUCAGGUAGGAAGACCCGCUGAACUUAAGCAUAUCAAUAAGCGGAGGA